rnacentral:rRNA from 1 species
GACGAACGCUGGCGGCGUGCUUAACACAUGCAAGUCGAGCGGAAAGGCCCUGCUUUUGUGGGGUGCUCGAGUGGCGAACGGGUGAGUUACCCAUGAGUAACCUGCCCUUGACUUUGUGAUAACUUCAGGAAACUGGGGAUAAUACCGGAUAGGAGCUCCUGCUGCAUGGUGGGGGUUGGACAGUUUCGGCGGUUGGGGAUGGACGCGCGGCUUAUCAGCUGGUUGGUGGGGGAGUGGCUUACCCAGGCAUUGACGGGUAGCCGGCCUGAGAGGGAGACCCGGCCCAGAGGCACUCGGGUACGGGCCAUACGGAUACGGGAGGCAGCGGUGAGGAAUAGUGCACAAUGGGCGGAAGGCGUGUGCAGCAACGUCGGGUGCGGGAUGACGUCCUGCGGGGUGGAAGCCGCUUUCGCUUGUAACGAAGCGUGUGUGACGGUAAUGGGUAAGAAGCACCGGCUAACUACGUG